rfam:Fructobacillus fructosus KCTC 3544 strain DSM 20349 Scaffold3, whole genome shotgun sequence.
GGUAUUGUUUACCUCACGAUAAGCCCCGGAAACUUAUUGUAACCGUCUGAGAAGGAACGCUCAGACAUUGUAAACAACUA